AUCAGUCACACUGGAACUGAGACACGGUCCAGACUCCUACGGGAGGCAGCAGUAGGGAAUAUUGCGCAAUGGGGGAAACCCUGACGCAGCAACGCCGCGUGGAGGAUGACACUUUUCGGAGCGUAAACUCCUUUUCUUAGGGAAGAAUUCUGACGGUACCUAAGGAAUAAGCACCGGCUAACUCCGUGCCAGCAGCCGCGGUAAUACGGAGGGUGCAAGCGUUACUCGGAAUCACUGGGCGUAAAGGGCGCGUAGGCGGAUUAUCAAGUCUCUUGUGAAAUCUAAUGGCUUAACCAUUAAACUGCUUGGGAAACUGAUAGUCUAGAGUGAGGGAGAGGCAGAUGGAAUUGGUGGUGUAGGGGUAAAAUCCGUAGAUAUCACCAAGAAUACCCAUUGCGAAGGCGAUCUGCUGGAACUCAACUGACGCUAAGGCGCGAAAGCGUGGGGAGCAAACAGGAUUAGAUACCCUGGUAGUCCACGCCCUAAACGAUGUACACUAGUUGUUGGGGUGCUAGUCAUCUCAGUAAUGCAGCUAACGCAUUAAGUGUACCGCCUGGGGAGUACGGUCGCAAGAUUAAAACUCAAAGGAAUAGACGGGGACCCGCACAAGCGGUGGAGCAUGUGGUUUAAUUCGAAGAUACGCGAAGAACCUUACCUGGGCUUGAUAUCCUAAGAACCUUUUAGAGAUAAGAGGGUGCUAGCUUGCUAGAACUUAGAGACAGGUGCUGCACGGCUGUCGUCAGCUCGUGUCGUGAGAUGUUGGGUUAAGUCCCGCAACGAGCGCAACCCACGUAUUUAGUUGCUAACGGUUCGGCCGAGCACUCUAAAUAGACUGCCUUCGUAAGGAGGAGGAAGGUGUGGACGACGUCAAGUCAUCAUGGCCCUUAUGCCCAGGGCGACACACGUGCUACAAUGGCAUAUACAAUGAGACGCAAUACCGCGAGGUGGAGCAAAUCUAUAAAAUAUGUCCCAGUUCGGAUUGUUCUCUGCAACUCGAGAGCAUGAAGCCGGAAUCGCUAGUAAUCGUAGAUCAGCCAUGCUACGGUGAAUACGUUCCCGGGUCUUGUACUCACCGCCCGUCACACCAUGGGAGUUGAUUUCACUCGAAGCCGGAAUACUAAACUAGUUACCGUCCACAGUGGAAUCAGCGACUGGGGUGAAGUCGUAACAAGGUAACCGUAGGAGAACCUGCGGUUGGAUCACCUCCUUU
rnacentral:rRNA from 1 species